CUAAUACAUGCAAGUAGAACGCUGAAGAGAGGAGCUUGCUCUUCUUGGAUGAGUUGCGAACGGGUGAGUAACGCGUAGGUAACCUGCCUUGUAGCGGGGGAUAACUAUUGGAAACGAUAGCUAAUACCGCAUAACAAUGGAUGACACAUGUCAUUUAUUUGAAAGGGGCAAUUGCUCCACUACAAGAUGGACCUGCGUUGUAUUAGCUAGUAGGUGAGGUAACGGCUCACCUAGGCGACGAUACAUAGCCGACCUGAGAGGGUGAUCGGCCACACUGGGACUGAGACACGGCCCAGACUCCUACGGGAGGCAGCAGUAGGGAAUCUUCGGCAAUGGGGGCAACCCUGACCGAGCAACGCCGCGUGAGUGAAGAAGGUUUUCGGAUCGUAAAGCUCUGUUGUAAGUCAAGAACGAGUGUGAGAGUGGAAAGUUCACACUGUGACGGUAGCUUACCAGAAAGGGACGGCUAACUACGUGCCAGCAGCCGCGGUAAUACGUAGGUCCCGAGCGUUGUCCGGAUUUAUUGGGCGUAAAGCGAGCGCAGGCGGUUUGAUAAGUCUGAAGUUAAAGGCUGUGGCUCAACCAUAGUUCGCUUUGGAAACUGUCAAACUUGAGUGCAGAAGGGGAGAGUGGAAUUCCAUGUGUAGCGGUGAAAUGCGUAGAUAUAUGGAGGAACACCGGUGGCGAAAG
rnacentral:rRNA from 1 species